AUUGAACGCUGGCGGCAUGCCUUACACAUGCAAGUCGAACGGCAGCACGGGGGCAACCCUGGUGGCGAGUGGCGAACUGGUGAGUAAUGCAUCGGAACGUGCCCAGUAGUGGGGGAUAACCAGUCGAAAGACUGGCCAAUACCGCAUACGACCCAAGGGUGAAAGCGGGGGACCGUAAGGCCUCGCGCUAUUGGAGCGGCCGAUGUCUGAUUAGCUAGUUGGCGGGGUAAGAGCCCACCAAGGCGACGAUCAGUAGCUGGUCUGAGAGGACGACCGGCCACACGGGGACGGAGACCCGGCCCAGACUCGUCCGGGAGGCAGCAGUGGGGAAUUUUGGACAAUGGGCGCAAGCCUGAUCCAGCCAUGCCGCGUGCGGGAAGAAGGCCUUCGGGUUGUAAACCGCUUUUGGCAGGAACGAAACGGCGCAGGCCAAUACCUUGCGCUAAUGACGGUACCUGCAGAAUAAGCACCGGCUAACUACGUGCCAGCAGCCGCCGUAAGAC
rnacentral:rRNA from 1 species